UGGGGAAUAUUGGACAAUGGGCGCAAGCCUGAUCCAGCCAUGCCGCGUGAGUGAUGAAGGCCCUAGGGUUGUAAAGCUCUUUCACCGGUGAAGAUAAUGACGGUAACCGGAGAAGAAGCCCCGGCUAACUUCGUGCCAGCAGCCGCGGUAAUACGAAGGGGGCUAGCGUUGUUCGGAUUUACUGGGCGUAAAGCGCACGUAGGCGGACUUUUAAGUCAGGGGUGAAAUCCCGGGGCUCAACCCCGGAACUGCCUUUGAUACUGGGUGUCUUGAGUAUGAGAGAGGUGUGUGGAACUCCGAGUGUAGAGGUGAAAUUCGUAGAUAUUCGGAAGAACACCAGUGGCGAAGGCGACACACUGGCUCAUUACUGACGCUGAGGCUCGAAAGCGUGGGGAGCAAACAGG
rnacentral:rRNA from 1 species